rnacentral:rRNA from 2 species
GUAACAAGGUUUCCGUAGGUGA